UUCGCAAUGCCCGAAAGGGUGACGGAGCGACGCCGCGUGCGGGACUAAGGCCCUCGGGUCGUAAACCGCUGUCAGGGAGCACGAAAGGUGCGGACGCUAAUAUCGAUCGCACUCUGACGUUAUGCCCAAAGGAAGCCACGGCUAACUCCGUGCCAGCAGCCGCGGUAAGACGAAGGUGGCGAGUGUUGUUCGGAAUCACUGGGCUUAAAGCGCGCGUAGGCGGUUCGGUCAAUCGAAGGUGAAAUCCUACCGCUCAACGGUAGAACGGCCUUCGAUAUUGCCGUCCUUGAGGAGGCGAGGGGAGAGUGGAACUCUAGGUAGAGCGGUGAAAUGCGUAGAUAUCAGAGGGAACGCCGGCGGCGAAAGCGAUUCUCUGGCCUAUUACUGACACUCAGUGUGCGAAAGCUAGGGGAGCGAACGGGAUUAGAUACCCCGGUAGUCCUAGCCGUAAACGAUGGGCACUAAGUAGAGGGGUUUUA
rnacentral:rRNA from 1 species